UACGCGAUGCUGCCGUAGCGACACAACGCACCGUCUCCUGUUUCUCUGCCGCGCGUCAGAAGCACGCGCCCCUUUUUAUCAGCUUCCAUUUGUGCUAUUCGCGCUCGUUCCCCUACCCGACCCCGGGAGCGCAUCGAUUGGCUUUGACACCGACGACGCAAAUGCUUCCGUUUACCAAUGGCUUGAGCUGCAACGCAAGGUGCGGGUCUAACACCAAAAGCAACUGGGGUUCUGAGUCUUGCUCAAGAACACUUCUACAUUUGGACAGGAAAAGCUGGGGAUCAAACCACCAACCCUGUGAUCUGUGGAUGAUCCAUUCUACCUCCAGAGCAGCCCCAUAAAUAUUAGCCUAUACCCACCUUAAGGGCUCUCUCGGUUGCUGAUGGACCUCAUCUUGCACAUACUGGCCCAGGAGUGGACACUUGGCCUGGAAACCCUAUGCAGAGAACCUUGAUGGGCAAAGGCAUCACCCCUUCCUCUGGCACUGUUCCAUAUAGUUGUAUUUGGCCCUGUUCAUCUUGCUGAUGCUGCUGACAACCAACAGGGGAAUUUAAGCUACAUCAGUGGACAAACGUUUAGUGAAAAAUCUUUGGUACGUCAUUCCAUACCAUAUACAGUUUACAUUAAAUAUUGCACAUACACAGCUUUGAAAGUCUUCUCCAUAAGCGCUUUUCACACAGCAGCAUUGAUGCAGCCACUAACCUGUCUGUGGGAUGUUUGUCCAUACGUGCUGAAUCUCCCCCCUUGUGAAAUGUGAUCGCUGGAGGCGGAUAGCACAGAUGUUUUUCAUAGAAAUAAUUCAUUUGCAGAGUGUGGGUUUCUUUUUUGUGUGGUGGAAAUGCACUCCAAGCAAAUUGGUGAGGCAGCUUCAGUGCAUUCCUGACACACGUGAAUAGCGAACGAAAUUAAACCAGUCAAGUUUGAUGCAGCUGCGGGGCUGAUUUCUAACACAUUGUAUUUAACCCUGAAAAGAUAAUGUUGGCUUUUAUCAUUCUUUUGUUUUGCAGCUUUCUCACAAUUGGCAAUAUUGUUAAUCUGUACAAUUUAAUAUUAAUGUUUCUGUGCUGGCAAAGAGCAAAACAGAAAGGGAUGUAGGGAGAUGUUUUUCAGUGAAAAUUACAGGCUACGAGGCACAACAUGGAGCUGUUUUACGUGCUGCUUGUUGAAUACUGCAAAAUAUCUAAAUUAUUUAGCAGCUGUUCACACCUGAAUUUCUGUUUGUCAGGCCUAAGGUCCGGUCAGACAGAAAUGUACUGACCACCAAAACACACUGACCCACACACAACCUCUCCGUCUUUUCUAUCCUGUGCCUCGUGGGAGGCUGUUACUGAGGUCCGCUCCAGUCACUCCUGCUGCUGUACUAUAUGAACAGUGUGCAGGUGUCUAUUUGAAUGCAUCAUCCAUCAGCACUGGACAGAGAUAAGCUUUCCAAAAGUCAAAUCAAGUUCUCAAUCCGCUCGACUGAGCCCUGUGAAAUUCACUUUCCAUACCAGCAUUCAUCUCGUCGCAUCAUCAGCAGUGAAACAGAAGACAAAGCCCACACGUUUCUU